CACGUAGGGCGCAAGCGUUGUCCGGAAUUAUUGGGCGUAAAAGAGCUCGUAGGCGGUCUGUUGCGUCCGCUGUGAAAACCCGGGGCUUAACCCUGGGCUGGCAGUGGAUACGGACAGACUAGAGGUAGGUAGGGGAGAAUGGAAUUCCCGGUGUAGCGGUGAAAUGCGCAGAUAUCGGGAGGAACACCGGUGGCGAAGGCGGUUCUCUGGGCCUUACCUGACGCUGAGUGAGCGAAAGACCAGGGGAGGCAAACGGG
rnacentral:rRNA from 1 species